rnacentral:rRNA from 1 species
UACGUAGGUGGCAAGCGUUGUCCGGAAUUAUUGGGCGUAAAGCGCGCGCAGGCGGUCCUUUAAGUCUGAUGUGAAAGCCCACGGCUCAACCGUGGAGGGUCAUUGGAAACUGGGGGACUUGAGUGUAGAAGAGGAAAGCGGAAUUCCACGUGUAGCGGUGAAAUGCGUAGAGAUGUGGAGGAACACCAGUGGCGAAGGCGGCUUUCUGGUCUGUAACUGACGCUGAGGCGCGAAAGCGUGGGGAGCAAACAGG